CUACGGGGCGCACCAGUGGGGAAUAUUGCACAAUGGGGGAAACCCUGAUGCAGCAACGCCGCGUGGAGGAUGACACUUUUCGGAGCGUAAACUCCUUUUAUAUAGGAAGAUAAUGACGGUACUAUAUGAAUAAGCACCGGCUAACUCCGUGCCAGCAGCCGCGGUAAUACGGAGGGUGCAAGCGUUACUCGGAAUCACUGGGCGUAAAGAGCGUGUAGGCGGGUUAAUAAGUCAGAAGUGAAAUCCAAUGGCUCAACCAUUGAACUGCUUUUGAAACUGUUAACCUAGAAUAUGGGAGAGGUAGAUGGAAUUUCUGGUGUAGGGGUAAAAUCCGUAGAGAUCAGAAGGAAUACCGAUUGCGAAGGCGAUCUACUGGAACAUUAUUGACGCUGAGACGCCAAAGCGUGGGGAGCAAACAGGAUUAGAUACCCUCGUAGUC
rnacentral:rRNA from 1 species